rnacentral:rRNA from 1 species
UACGUAGGGUGCAAGCGUUGCCCGGAUUUAUUGGGCGUAAAGGGCGCGUAGGCGGCUCUGCACGUUCGUUGUGAAAUCGCCCGGCUCAACUGGGCGGGGUCAGCGGAUACGGCAGAGCUUGAGCAAGCUAGGGGGCAAUGGAAUUCCCGGUGUAGUGGUGGAAUGCGUAGAUAUCGGGAGGAACACCAGUGGCGAAGGCGGCGACCUGGACGGACAUUGACGCUGAGACGCGAAAGCGUGGGGAGCAAACAGG